rnacentral:rRNA from 1 species
GUGCUUAACACAUGCAAGUCGAACGCGAAAGGGACUUCGGUCCCGAGUAGAGUGGCGCACGGGUGAGUAACGCGUAAGUAAUCUACCCCUGUAUCUGGAAUAACCCACCGAAAGGUGAGCUAAUACCGGAUACGUUUAUCUUGAUGCGAAUGAUGAUAAAGAAAGGUGGCCUCUUCAUGAAAGCUACCGUACAGGGACGAGCUUGCGUACCAUUAGCUGGUUGGUAGGGUAAUGGCCUACCAAGGCGACGAUGGUUAGCGGGUCUGAGAGGAUGAUCCGCCACACUGGAACUGAAACACGGACCAGACUCCUACGGGAGGCAGCAGUGAGGAAUAUUGCGCAAUGGGGGCAACCCUGACGCAGCGACGCCGCGUGGACGAUGAAGGCCCUUGGGUCGUAAAAUCCUGUCAGAUGGAAAGAAAUGUACAGGUGUUAAUAUCGCCUGUAUUUGACGGUACCAUCAAAGGAAGCACCGGCUAACUCCGUGCCAGCAGCCGCGGUAAUACGGA